UGUCGCAAUAGAUGAUGUACGUUCAAGUCCAUCUUGAAUGGGGCCAUUUUACCCACAGAGGGUGCCAGGCCCGUGGAACUACCAUCUGCGAUUUGUGGACUACUCUUGAGAGUCGUGUUGCUUGAUAGUGCAGCACUAAGUGGGUGGUAAACUCCAUCUAAGGCUAAAUAUUACCAUGAGACCGAUAGCGAACAAGUACCGUGAGGGAAAGUUGAAAAGCACUCUGAAUAGAGAGUCAAAUAGUACGUGAAACUGUCUAGGGGCUCAAACCUAAAGAACCCAAAUAUCUAAACGGAGAAAUUCAAUACUAUCGUUAAACAUAGUGUGCACUUUUCUCUUAGUAAGACGCCGUGAUCCAUUAGAAAUUGA
rnacentral:rRNA from 15 species